AGGAGCGUAGCUCAGUGGUAGAGCACUUGCCUAACAUGCAUCAAACUCAGGGUUCAAUCCCCAGUACUGUUA
rnacentral:tRNA from 1 species